AGCAGGAAGUAACGCAGGGGACUCAAAAUCCCCCGCCGCAAGGCGUGUCGGUUCGAGUCCGACCCCGGGCACCA
rnacentral:tRNA from 1 species